UCUCCUGGAAACGGGUGGUAAUGCCGGAUGCUCCAGUUGAUCGCAUGGUCUUCUGGGAAAGCUUUCGCGGUAUGGGAUGGGGUCGCGUCCUAUCAGCUUGACGGCGGGGUAACGGCCCACCGUGGCUUCGACGGGUAGCCGGCCUGAGAGGGCGACCGGCCACAUUGGGACUGAGAUACGGCCCAGACUCCUACGGGAGGCAGCAGUGGGGAAUAUUGCACAAUGGGCGCAAGCCUGAUGCAGCGACGCCGCGUGAGGGAUGGAGGCCUUCGGGUUGUAAACCUCUUUUAUCGGGGAGCAAGCGAGAGUGAGUUUACCCGUUGAAUAAGCACCGGCUAACUACGUGCCAGCAGCCGCGGUAAUACGUAGGGUGCAAGCGUUAUCCGGAAUUAUUGGGCGUAAAGGGCUCGUAGGCGGUUCGUCGCGUCCGGUGUGAAAGUCCAUCGCUUAACGGUGGAUCCGCGCCGGGUACGGGCGGGCUUGAGUGCGGUAGGGGAGACUGGAAUUCCCGGUGUAACGGUGGAAUGUGUAGAUAUCGGAAAAGAACACCA
rnacentral:rRNA from 3 species